GAUGAACGCUGGCGGCGUGCUUAACACAUGCAAGUCGAACGAUGAAGCCCAGCUUGCUGGGUGGAUUAGUGGCGAACGGGUGAGUAACACGUGAGUAACCUGCCCUUAACUCUGGGAUAAGCCUGGGAAACUGGGUCUAAUACCGGAUAGGAGCGUCCACCGCAUGGUGGGUGUUGGAAAGAUUUAUCGGUUUUGGAUGGACUCGCGGCCUAUCAGCUUGUUGGUGAGGUAAUGGCUCACCAAGGCGACGACGGGUAGCCGGCCUGAGAGGGUGACCGGCCACACGGGAAAGGGAACACGGCCCAGCCCCCACGGGGGGGAAGCAGGGGGGAAAAUUGCAAAAGGGGGGCAAGCCUGAGGCGGCGAGCCCGGGGGGGGGAGGAGGGCCUCGGGGUUGAAAACCUUUUUCGGUGGGGAAGAAGGGAAAGGGACGGUACCUGCAGAAGAAGCACCGGCUAACUACGU
rnacentral:rRNA from 1 species